rnacentral:misc_RNA from 1 species
GUUAGCUUGGGUUCCACACCAUUCCAGUAGUUGAAAGUACAGGGAUGAAAGAGAGAUGUAACGGGGAUGAAAUUGCGCCUUUUGAAGGCAAAUUCAAAGGACAGGAAAGCUCAAACAGCUAUUGAAAGGUUAUAGGAAAAGAAAUGUAUCCAGUUUCCUUAGAUAUCUCAGGUGAAAAAGGGUCAUUCUAUCCUUCCCUAAAGGACAUUCACUCAGAUAUAGGGUAAGCAUGAAAAUUCCAUAUCGGCUAAGUAUUGAAAGUCGAUUCCCUAAGUCUAAUGAGCCCUGUAGAGCCUGUCACGAAGGCACUAGGAAAACUACCUUCCUUCUUUUAUUCUUUUUUU